rnacentral:rRNA from 1 species
UGGGGAAUUUUGGACAAUGGGCGCAAGCCUGAUCCAGCAAUGCCGCGUGCAGGAUGAAGGCCUUCGGGUUGUAAACUGCUUUUGUACGGAGCGAAAAGGUCUGCCCUAAUACGGUGGGCUCAUGACGGUACCGUAAGAAUAAGCACCGGCUAACUACGUGCCAGCAGCCGCGGUAAUACGUAGGGUGCGAGCGUUAAUCGGAAUUACUGGGCGUAAAGCGUGCGCAGGCGGUUUUGUAAGACAGAGGUGAAAUCCCCGGGCUCAACCUGGGAACUGCCUUUGUGACUGCAUAGCUAGAGUACGGUAGAGGGGGAUGGAAUUCCGCGUGUAGCAGUGAAAUGCGUAGAUAUGCGGAGGAACACCGAUGGCGAAGGCAAUCCCCUGGACCUGUACUGACGCUCAUGCACGAAGGCGUGGGGAGCAAACA